rnacentral:rRNA from 1 species
CUUAGACUUCCCAGGGGAACUUGUUCCAUAAUCGACAGUCCACGCUAUACCUCCCCUUUUUUAGUAUAAUCAGUAUGUAUACCGUCGUCGGCAGGUAACUUUUGAAAAUUAAAUAGUUAGCUAGAAAGUUAGAUAUAUCAACUUUAACGUCAGAUCAAGGUGCAGCCAAUAAAAAGGAGUGAAUGAGUUACAAUUAUUAUUAAUAACCACGGAUUAAAAGGUGAAAUCCUAUUAUGAA